CUUGUCAGAGCAUAGGGGUCGCUGCAACCCAGAAGCGGAUGGAUGAUAGUGAGGGGUUCUUUCAGGAUUCCGAAAGCAGCAUCCGAUGACAAAUUUACAUCAAAUUCUUCAUGCUUAAUUUCUUCCGGGCAGCUUUCUGGGCUACUGCUUAUUUCUCGACGAUAUCCUUCCUCGACAUCUCCUUCCUCUUCCAGUUCUUCAGGUUUUCCUACCAUUUGAAGAUUCCAGAAGAUUAAGAAAUGUGACACAAUCAUACUGAGAGAGAUACUGCAGCAAAGUUCGUAAUAUCUUCAAAUCCUGAACUAAGGAUUUAGUCUUGGCUCCAAGCUGGUGCCACAAAGGAUCCAGAUAAUGGCGGAUUGUCUAAAACAAGAAUAAAAUUUGGUAUUGCUAAAA
ensembl:lncRNA novel transcript, antisense to ERCC4